AGUGAACGCUGGCGGUAGGCCUAACACAUGCAAGUCGAACGGCAGCACAGGAGAGCUUGCUCUCUGGGUGGCGAGUGGCGGACGGGUGAGGAAUACAUCGGAAUCUACCUUUUCGUGGGGGAUAACGUAGGGAAACUUACGCUAAUACCGCAUACGACCUACGGGUGAAAGUGGGGGACCGCAAGGCCUCACGCGAUUAGAUGAGCCGAUGUCCGAUUAGCUAGUUGGCGGGGUAAUGGCCCACCAAUGCGACGAUCGGGAGCUGGUCUGAGAGGAUGAACAGCGACAGUGGAACUGAGACACGGUCCAGACUCCUACGGGAGGCAGCAGUGGGGAAGAUUGGACAAUGGGGGCAAGCCUGAUCCAGCCAUACCGCGUGGGUGAAGAAGGCCUUCGGGUGGUAAAGCCCUUUUGUUGGGAAAGAAAUCCUGUCGAUUAAUACUCGGUGGGGAUGACGGUACCCAAAGAAUAAGCACCGGCUAACUUCGUGCCAGCCGCCGCAGUAACAC
rnacentral:rRNA from 1 species